UACGGGGGGAGCAAGCGUUGUUCGGAAUUACUGGGCGUAAAGGGCGCGUAGGCGGCUUGGUCAGUCGCGUGUGAAAGGCCGGGGCUCAACCCCGAGCACUGCACGCGAUACUGCCUGGCUCGAGAGAGGUAGGGGCGAGUGGAAUUCCCGGUGUAGCGGUGGAAUGCGUAGAUAUCGGGAGGAACACCUGUGGCGAAGGCGGCUCGCUGGACCUUUUCUGACGCUGAAGCGCGAAAGCGUGGGUAGCAAACAGG
rnacentral:rRNA from 1 species